rnacentral:misc_RNA from 1 species
UUGAAAACAUUGUAAAGGAAAGUUGAGCUGGUCCUUCAAGGGGCAAGUGCUCGCUUUUCUUUCAAUCUUCAUCCACCUGUGCACUUUUUGUAGAGAGUUCUGAGAAAUCUGGACCCUUUAAGUAGGGUUCUGAGAAGUAUCAGGUUCUCUAUGUCUUUAUACACUCAAUGUAUGUCUUUGAAUGUCUUUAUAAGGGACCUUAAUUGGACCUUUUAAAAAACUAUA